rnacentral:rRNA from 1 species
CCUACGGGAGGCAGCAGUGGGGAAUAUUGCACAAUGGGGGAAACCCUGAUGCAGCGAAGCCGCGUGAGUGAAGAAGGAUUUCGGGAUGGAAAGCUCUAUCAGCAGGGAAGAUAAGGAAGGUACCUGACUAAGAAGCCCCGGCUAACUACGUGCCAGCAGCCGCGGUAAUACGUAGGGGGCAAGCGUUAUCCGGAUUUACUGGGUGUAAAGGGUGCGUAGGUGGCAGGGAAAGUCAGAUGUGAAAGCCCGCGGUUCAACCCCGGUACUGCAGUUGAAACUGUCCAGCUGGAGUGCAGGAGAGGUAAGCGGAAUUCCUAGUGUAGCGGUGAAAUGCGUAGAUAUUAGGAGGAACACCAGUGGCGAAGGCAGCUUACUAGACUGUCACUGACACUGAGGCACGAAAGCGUGGGGAGCAAACAGGAUUAGAUACCCUAGUAGUC